AGGUGGUUGGUGUUUGUUAUAUAAAAGCUACAUCAACACAAGAAAUCAAGGAAGAGGAGGAGAGGCUUAAAAAGCAAGGAAGAGUCCAGAGUCCCACUCGAACACAGGUACAGAACAGCACGGCUGCAAAGUUAGUAGUCAAAUUCCCCAAGGACGUCUUUGCUUUUGCAAGACAGACCAAUUGUAUCAAUUUGUUUUCUUUUAGACUUUAUGCUCUUUAAUGGUGCCUCCUCAAACUUGCAACAGUGUUUCAGUAAGAGGAAAGUUUUUAUUUUCCAAUAGAUAGUAAAUAAACAAAUGAGCAAUUGGUGUCUGUGAAACAAACGUCGCUUGGCUGUUUGCU